CCCUUAGAUGUUAUGGGCCGCACGCGCGCUACACUGACGAUGGCAACGAGUUUUUCCUUCGCCGAAAGGUGUGGGUAAUCUUUUGAAACAUCGUCGUGCUGGGGAUAGAUCAUUGCAAUUUUUGAUCUUGAACGAGGAAUUCCUAGUAAGCGCGAGUCAUCAGCUCGCGUUGAUUACGUCCCUGCCCUUUGUACACACCGCCCGUCGCUACUACCGAUUGAAUGGUUUAGUGAGGACUCCUGAUUGGCGCCGCCGCCCCGGCAACGGAGCAGCGGACUGCCGAAAAGUUGUUCAAACUUGAUCAUUUAGAGGAAGUAAAAGUCGUAACA
rnacentral:rRNA from 1 species